AGGUUACUGUGCCAGGCAUAAAACCAAGAGUUCUUCAUGCCCUGACCAAAGACUAAAGUUCUUCAUAGGACGCCACAGUCACUUGUGCUGUUUUCCUGGGGCAUUAUAAGA
rnacentral:snoRNA from 1 species